rnacentral:misc_RNA from 1 species
AAACGAACGGAAGAAAGUCGCCGUCACCAGCGCCGGCAAAUACAAUCGCCGGCCACCGGUUCUGAUAUUCGUUCUCAGUCGAAGACUUUAUUCCAGUUUGUUGGAGUGAUAGUGAAAGAUGGGUUCUUUUAAGAGGAAGUCGCAAGAAUUCUCCAAUGAGGAUGAUAUUCCUCCAAGUAAACAGCUAAAACAAAAUGAUUUACUUGGUGCAGAUGAGCCAGUGACAUGUCUGCAUGAUGUGUCAUAUCCAGAAGGGUAUGUUCCCUCUGCUUCAACUUCUGGUUUGCCUCAACAAGAUUCAAAACCUGCUAAAGAGUUCCCUUUUCCACUCGACCCUUUUCAAUCUGAAGCAAUCAACUGUAUUAAUAAUGGCGAAUCCGUCAUGGUAUCAGCACACACGUCAGCGGGAAAGACAGUUGUGGCAUUAUAUGCAAUUGCCUUGUCGUUGAAGAAUAACCAGCGAGUGGUAUAUACUUCACCAAUUAAGGCUCUUAGUAAUCAGAAGUAUAGAGAAUUCAAAGAGGAGUUUUCAGAUGUGGGUUUGAUGACUGGAGAUGUCACA